AGCUCUCCUGCCACUCUCUCUAGUUCCUUCCUCAGGUGCUGCAGCUCCACCUCAGAGGGCACUGCUGGGGGCUCCGGGGGCAAGGGUUCAGCUGAGAAAGGAAGCAGAUAAUAAGGGCCUCUGGAUUCUCGGAAAAGAAAAACCCUCCUCUUGGCGCACAGCUCCUCUCAGGCUCCUCAAACUUGGCCUCACUGCUAAUGAUUCCUCGCACCCAGAUGGUAGCCAGUCUUCCAAAGCACUUUCAGAGAAAGAGCACUGCGGGUGGCUGACAACGGGCCCUCUUUGCUGAUGGGGACACUGAGACACUGAGACUCACUGAGAUGACAAGACUUGCGGUCUCCUGGCACAGAUCUCUUUCCCUCUGCCUCAAAGCCCUUCCAUCCACCCACCUCCCUGGGGCACUCUAAGCCACCCUCACAGCCCUCUGAUGCCAGUCCUGCUCCCAGGUCAUGCCAGCCCCAUCUUACCCGUCUGGUUUUUGAGUUUGGACAAGCUCCACUCCAGCUGCUCUACCCAACGCAUAUCCUGCUUCUCUUUCUUUAAUGUGCAAAUCUGCCCAAAGCACAGGGGGAAAGGGCCCUGGAGAGAGGGGCUGGUGGCUGGACAGGCUGCCCUCUCCUUCUCUGCCCCCACCCCCACAAAGCCCAGACCCAUGACCACCUCUGGCUCUACUAUUCCCAUUUUACAGAUGCCCAGAAAGAUCCAGUGACCUAUCUAAUGUGGGGGGGCUGAAGGGUCAGAUCUCACCUCCUGCGACAUUUUACUCAUCCUCUGAUGCCACCGGGCCC
rnacentral:lncRNA from 1 species